GACCUGCCAGUGUCAGGCACUGGGCAAGUGCUGGUCUUGGACACAAGGUCCAGCGGUGCUGUUCUCUCUCCUGGAGACCAUCCUGCUCCAGCAGCCCCGUGGGCACCGUUCCUCUAUGGAGAUAAACCCCUUGUCUUGGGGUCUGCAGCCCUCAAAGCCCUCCAGGCAAGGAGAUGUCUCCAGCCCCGAAGCUGUUGCCGGAGCCAGCGCCCGGCUCCCUCUCCCAUCCCCAGGCGGCACCAAAAUCUAAUGAAAGGAGGUGAACAAGCUUUCAAGACCUCAGAAGUUGUGCCGAAGGUUUUCGAUGGGAGGCUGCUGCACCGCUGCAGGGCAGGAUGAAGAUGAGCAUGGGGACCAGCCUUUGCCACCCUGUUGGCAUUUCCACACUCUGGCCUCACUUGUGUGAUUCCUGUCUCUUAAUUUCUGGGUCUCACGAGAGCAAUGCGUUGCAGGGGUAUUUGUAUCCUCACACCAGGAUGUGCUGGGUGCUCUC